AUGAACGCUAGCUACAGGCUUAACACAUGCAAGUCGAGGGGCAGCAUGGUCUUAGCUUGCUAAGGCCGAUGGCGACCGGCGCACGGGUGAGUAACGCGUAUCCAACCUGCCUUACACUCUUGGACAGCCUUCUGAAAGGGAGAUUAAUACAAGAUGUUAUCAUGAGUAAGCAUUUUCGCAUGAUUAAAGGUUUACCGGUGUAAGAUGGGGAUGCGUUCCAUUAGAUAGUAGGCGGGGUAACGGCCCACCUAGUCUUCGAUGGAUAGGGGUUCUGAGAGGAAGGUCCCCCACAUUGGAACUGAGACACGGUCCAAACUCCUACGGGAGGCAGCAGUGAGGAAUAUUGGUCAAUGGACGAGAGUCUGAACCAGCCAAGUAGCGUGAAGGAUGAAGGUUCUAUGGAUUGUAAACUUCUUUUAUACGGGAAUAAACGAAUCCACGCGUGGAUUUUUGCAUGUACCGUAUGAAUAAGGAUCGGCUAACUCCGUGCCAGCAGCCGCGGUAAUACGGAGGAUCCGAGCGUUAUCCGGAUUUAUUGGGUUUAAAGGGAGCGUAGAUGGGUUGUUAAGUCAGUUGUGAAAGUUUGCGGCUCAACCGUAAAAUUGCAAUUGAUACUGGCAGUCUUGAGUACAGUUGAGGUAGGCGGAAUUCGUGGUGUAGCGGUGAAAUGCUUAGAUAUCACGAAGAACUCCGAUUGCGAAGGCAGCUUACUAACCUGUAACUGACAUUGAUGCUCGAAAGUGUGGGUAUCAAACAGGAUUAGAUACCCUGGUAGUCCACACGGUAAACGAUGAAUACUCGCUGUAGGCGAUAUACAGUCUGCGGCCAAGCGAAAGCAUUAAGUAUUCCACCUGGGGAGUACGCCGGCAACGGUGAAACUCAAAGGAAUUGACGGGGGCCCGCACAAGCGGUGGAUUAUGUGGUUUAAUUCGAAGCAACGCGAAGAACCUUACCAGGGUUUGACAUCCUGCUAACGAAGUAGAGAUACAUUAGGUGCCCUUCGGGGAAAGCAGAGACAGGUGGUGCAUGGUUGUCGUCAGCUCGUGCCGUGAGGUGUCGGCUUAAGUGCCAUAACGAGCGCAACCCUUGCCGAUAGUUACUAACAGGUCAUGCUGAGGACUCUGUCGGGACUGCCAUCGUAAGAUGUGAGGAAGGUGGGGAUGACGUCAAAUCAGCACGGCCCUUACGUCCGGGGCUACACACGUGUUACAAUGGGGGGUACAGAGGGCUGCUACCACGCAAGUGGAUGCCAAUCCCAAAAACCUCUCUCAGUUCGGAUUGAAGUCUGCAACCCGACUUCAUGAAGCUGGAUUCGCUAGUAAUCGCGCAUCAGCCACGGCGCGGUGAAUACGUUCCCGGGCCUUGUACACACCGCCCGUCAAGCCAUGGGAGCCGGGGGUACCUGAAGUGCGUAACCGCAAGGAGCGCCCUAGGGUAAAACUGGUGACUGGGGCU
rnacentral:rRNA from 1 species